GCCUAAUUAGUGCAGGUUAAAGAAAGUAAUUCAAAAUAAAUUCAUUUAGUUGUUCUGAUUUACAGAAUAUAUAAUGUGUCUGGGAUUUUAAGUUUUGUUUGGUAGUUACAGGUCACAAAGCACAAGGAGUAAAAUAAACUUUUAAUGUGGAGCGAUUUUAGAAUUUGGUAUGUUUGUCUUGUAAGCUUAAUAGCCAUAAAAGAAAACAAAAUUUCCACACAAAAGUAUAUAUUUAUAUAAAGUAGACAUCACAGGCUAUUGUCCUAAGGUUGUUUUGACUCUUUCUACGUAGCCAUUUCACC